rnacentral:rRNA from 1 species
GAUGAACGCUGGCGGCGUGCCUAAUACAUGCAAGUCGAGCGAACGGACGAGAAGCUUGCUUCUCUGAUGUUAGCGGCGGACGGGUGAGUAACACGUGGAUAACCUACCUAUAAGACUGGGAUAACUUCGGGAAACCGGAGCUAAUACCGGAUAAUAUUUUGAACCGCAUGGUUCAAAAGUGAAAGACGGUCUUGCUGUCACUUAUAGAUGGAUCCGCGCUGCAUUAGCUAGUUGGUAAGGUAACGGCUUACCAAGGCAACGAUGCAUAGCCGACCUGAGAGGGUGAUCGGCCACACUGGAACUGAGACACGGUCCAGACUCCUACGGGAGGCAGCAGUAGGGAAUCUUCCGCAAUGGGCGAAAGCCUGACGGAGCAACGCCGCGUGAGUGAUGAAGGUCUUCGGAUCGUAAAACUCUGUUAUUAGGGAAGAACAUAUGUGUAAGUAACUGUGCACAUCUUGACGGUACCUAAUCAGAAAGCCACGGCUAACUACGUGCCAGCAGCCGCGGUAAUACGUAGGUGGCAAGCGUUAUCCGGAAUUAUUGGGCGUAAAGCGCGCGUAGGCGGUUUUUUAGGUCUGAUGUGAAAGCCCACGGCUCAACCGUGGAGGGUCAUUGGAAACUGGAAAACUUGAGUGCAGAAGAGGAAAGUGGAAUUCCAUGUGUAGCGGUGAAAUGCGCAGAGAUAUGGAGGAACACCAGUGGCGAAGGCGACUUUCUGGUCUGUAACUGACGCUGAUGUGCGAAAGCGUGGGGAUCAAACAGGAUUAGAUACCCUGGUAGUCCACGCCGUAAACGAUGAGUGCUAAGUGUUAGGGGGUUUCCGCCCCUUAGUGCUGCAGCUAACGCAUUAAGCACUCCGCCUGGGGAGUACGACCGCAAGGUUGAAACUCAAAGGAAUUGACGGGGACCCGCACAAGCGGUGGAGCAUGUGGUUUAAUUCGAAGCAACGCGGAGAACCUUACCAAAUCUUGACAUCCUUUGACAACUCUAGAGAUAGAGCUUUCCCCUUCGGGGGACAAAGUGACAGGUGGUGCAUGGUUGUCGUCGGCUCGUGUCGUGAGAUGUUGGGUUAAGUCCCGCAACGAGCGCAACCCUUAAGCUUAGUUGCCAUCAUUAGGUUGGGCACUCUAAGUUGACUGCCGGUGACAAACCGGAGGAAGGUGGGGAUGACGUCAAAUCAUCAUGCCCCUUAUGAUUUGGGCUACACACGUGCUACAAUGGACAAUACAAAGGGCAGCGAAACCGCGAGGUCAAGCAAAUCCCAUAAAGUUGUUCUCAGUUCGGAUUGUAGUCUGCAACUCGACUACAUGAAGCUGGAAUCGCUAGUAAUCGUAGAUCAGCAUGCUACGGUGAAUACGUUCCCGGGUCU